rnacentral:lncRNA from 1 species
GGAAAAACAAUGAUGGAUCAUAGUGCUUGGAAGUGAGGUCUUUAUUCCUCUUUUGUCAGAAAAUGAUUCAAAAAUGGACAGUACUUACUACUGCACUCAGUAUAAAAACACAACUUAGUCUCAAAUAUGCAUAUCUUCUCUGUGAUUUAUAGCCGCACUCAGUUACAGGGGGUGACUCCACCAAUUAGGACCAAUGUUUAGUUAUUUUUUUCCCAUGGAAGAGCUUCAUCAUGGAAGGGUGGAAAGUGAAACACUUGCUUCAGUUCCUUUCCCUCUGGUUAGGAAAUCCUCCUGAGAAGUUAAAGAUGUGAAUCUAAACUCUUUGGACUCAAGAAGGGAAAAUAAGGGAAGGGAAAGCUGAACCCUUGGGUGAUGGCCUGUCAUCCUGCUCCAUUUCCAAAGAAACAGUCUGCUCCACAGAUCCUAUAACACCCUCUAACUACCUGCACACAUAUCUUUCACACGUCCUACAAUAGGCUGAAAAAGGAUCCAAAUCAGAUUCCUGUCUGUUUAACUACAGAGGACGUACAAACAGACUAUACAUGAAUCUUUUGUUAGCUAAAGAUAUAUAUAUAUAUAUAUAUAUAUAUAUAUACUUAUAUAUAUUUUUUUUUAACCUAAAAUUUCUGUUUCCAGAUGUGUCCUAGCUCAGGAUGUUGGUUGUUAUAGAAGCCAUUCUGAACAGAUCUCUCUGUAUGGAGCCAGGACGUCUACACAGACUUCAGUUUUGGUGCCAAAAACUUGAAAGGAAUGUUUUAAAACUCAUUUUCAUUGUGUUAAGAACACCCUUUCUGGUUUUGGGGCUGCAGAAUCUUCAGAUAGUGGAUGGUUUGCAUUCUCAUUUCUGCAACAAGGCUGCAAGUUGACACAAGAGCCUUUUGUGGCUUACAUGCUUAAAUCCAGAUCUUCUGCUUAUGUACAGGUGGCCUAAGUAAAAAAACCCGCCUUGAAUUAAUCCUUGUUUUGGAGAAACAGCCUGCAAAUGAAGUGGAAAGAGAACAUCUUUUCUUUCUUUUCUUACAUUAUUUUCCCAUUAAAAAUUAUUUUUCAUGUCAUUGUAAAAGAAUGUAAAACAACAACAACAACAAUAACAACAAAAACACACUUUUUGUGGGAAAAAAAAAGAAAGAACACAAACAACAUAUUCUUCCUCACCCUCUCCUUCCACUUUUAAUGAUGUCCUUAAUUUCUAAUUCUUCUUAUAAAUAUUUCCUCAAUGUAUUUGUAGAUGUUGGUUAUUUUAAUUCUAAGUUAUUUCUGAUUUUGUGUUGAUCAUAGCCCUGAGUUAAGGGCUUACUUAAUAAUAAAAUUAACCAUUAUUGCA